AACGAACGCUGGCGGCGUGCCUAACACAUGCAAGUCGUACGAGAAAUCCUGGGCAACUGGGAAAGUAAAGUGGCGCACGGGUGAGUAACGCGUGGGUAACCUACCCUUGGACUUGGGAUAACUCCGCGAAAGCGGGGUUAAUACCGGAUGAUAUUCCGAUUCCUAAGGGGAUUGGAAUCAAAGGUGGCCUCUGCAUGCAAGCUAUCAUCUGAGGAUGGGCCCGCGUACCAUUAGCUAGUUGGUAGGGUAAUGGCCUACCAAGGCAACGAUGGUUAGCUGGUCUUAGAGGAUGGCCAGCCACACUGGAACUGAGACACGGUCCAGACUCCUACGGGAGGCAG
rnacentral:rRNA from 1 species